CCUGCACGAAUGGCGUAAUGAUGGCCAGGCUGUCUCCACCCGAGACUCAGUGAAAUUGAACUCGCUGUGAAGAUGCAGUGUACCCGCGGCAAGACGGAAAGACCCCGUGAACCUUUACUAUAGCUUGACACUGAACAUUGAGCCUUGAUGUGUAGGAUAGGUGGGAGGCUUUGAAGUGUGGACGCCAGUCUGCAUGGAGCCGACCUUGAAAUACCACCCUUUAAUGUUUGAUGUUCUAACGUUGACCCGUAAUCCGGGUUGCGGACAGUGUCUGGUGGGUAGUUUGACUGGGGCGGUCUCCUCCUAAAGAGUAACGGAGGAGCACGAAGGUUGGCUAAUCCUGGUCGGACAUCAGGAGGUUAGUGCAAUGGCAUAAGCCAGCUUGACUGCGAGCGUGACGGCGCGAGCAGGUGCGAAAGCAGGUCAUAGUGAUCCGGUGGUUCUGAAUGGAAGGGCCAUCGCUCAACGGAUAAAAGGUACUCCGGGGAUAACAGGCUGAUACCGCCCAAGAGUUCAUAUCGACGGCGGUGUUUGGCACCUCGAUGUCGGCUCAUCACAUCCUGGGGCUGAAGUAGGUCCCAAGGGUAUGGCUGUUCGCCAUUUAAAGUGGUACGCGAGCUGGGUUUAGAACGUCGUGAG
rnacentral:rRNA from 1 species